ACGGGUGCGGAACACGUACGCAACUUACCCAAAACUGGGGAAUAGCCCGGGGAAACCCGGAUUAAUACCUCGUAACAUAAUGAAGUGGCAUCACUUUAUUAUUAUAGCUCCGGCGGUUUUGGAUGGGCGUGCGCCUGAUUAGGUAGUUGGCGGGGUAACGGCCCACCAAGCCUACGAUCAGUAACUGGUGUGAGAGCACGACCAGUCACACGGGCACUGAGACACGGGCCCGACUCCUACGGGAGGCAGCAGUAAGGAAUAUUGGUCAAUGGACGCAAGUCUGAACCAGCCAUGCCGCGUGAAGGAUGAAGGUCCUCUGGAUUGUAAACUUCUUUUAUAUGGGAAGAAAUCCAUCUUUUCUUGGGUGGUUGACGGUACCAUAGGAAUAAGCACCGGCUAACUCCGUGCCAGCAGCCGCGGUAAUACGGAGGGUGCAAGCGUUAUCCGGAUUCACUGGGUUUAAAGGGUGCGUAGGAGGGCAGGUAAGUCAGUGGUGAAAUCUCCAAGCUUAACUUGGAAACUGCCGUUGAUACUAUCUGUCUUGAAUACCGUGGAGGUGAGCGGAAUAUGUCAUGUAGCGG
rnacentral:rRNA from 1 species